ensembl:lncRNA
UUACAGCUGAUUGAGGACAGACAUGAGCAAUGCCAUCUUGAAGAAUCAUGCACGUGGGCCUUGGCUCUCUUGCACAUGUGACCAGCAGCUGCACGGUCACGUGUGGCAGUGAUGUCCCCUCGGUGUCCUCUAGAGGUCAGCGUCCACCAGAAUGUGCAUGGAAAUGGGAGGUGCCUUUGCGUUCACGGAGAGCGUAAUUUAUGCGGCAUACCAUGUGUCUGAACAUUAUAGCGUUGUCGCAGGCCAGGCGAGCACUACUGAAAUUGAGAUCACUAAUACCUUCACGUCCGUCCAUUUUCGUGCAGGGUCACGUGUGAUUUUAACUUUAAGACGCUCACUGGUAUGGCUGCGUACUAAUCUCCACCUGAUGCACUCAAUGUCCACGCUGGUAAUCCUCGUGGUAGCGUCGAUCCCUCCGACCCACGCUGAUUGUCUGAAGCGUCCUGACCGGGCAAAGGAUCCUUGAGCAUCAGCUCUGCACCCGCUAACCUGCCAGAGACCACUGCUGCUUUGCCUUUUGGCCAAACGGCUUUGCUUUACCGUGUUAAACUAACCCUGUUCGGGUUUGAUUUGCUUUGCCUUU